AAUAAACGUCCCAGUUCGGACUGCAGCCUGCAACCCGGCUGCACGAAGCCGGAAUCGCCAGUAAUCGCAGAUCAGCAUGCUGCGGUGAAUACGUUCCCGGGUCUUGUACACACCGCCCGUCACACCAUGGGAGCCGGGAAUGCCCGAAGUCAGCGGCCCAACCGAAAGGGGGAGCUGCCGAAGGCAGGCCUGGUGACUGGGGUGAAGUCGUAACAAGGUAGC
rnacentral:rRNA from 1 species